UGAUUUGUUUUAGGUGAUUUUGUGGAGGGGCUAAGGAAGCAGGAGUUUGAAUUGGAUGUCAGGAAGCUAGUUCAUUCUAUGAAAAAAAAUAAAAGUAGAGAGAACCCAUGUAUGGUUAGGCUACUCAAGACAGCUACAUCUCCCACCCAACCAGUGCCUGUUUCACCUACGCCCUACUCAGCUGAAUGACUUUCCGGUGUAUUUGUUCCAGGCCUCUGCUGGUGAUUUUUCUUAUCAAAAGGGCUGUGAGGGGUGGGCGCCUCUGCUGGUUUCUCUGGUAACUAAUGAGCCCACCUGACAUCAAUUCCACUAUAACUGGUAACUUCCCUCCCUUCUUCCCCUGGCGAAGACUGCCACCACGUUCUGCCACUUUCUGCAGCACACUAUAAAGUGUCGCUCCAGGACCUUUCUUCAGAUAUGAGCCGUCUGUCCAGGUGUAAGCACUACAGCAAAGGGCCCCAGGACCCAGCCUGUCUCAGCUUGAGCCCCACAGACCAGCAAAUGCAUUUGUUGCAUUGUGUGACUGGAUAUUUUGGUGCUGUGCGGAGAUAUUAAUUUCAAGUCUAGAUCAAUACAAGCAGCGUAAGCAUGGAGUCUGGGAAGGAACUCGGGGGGCCAUGAACACAGAAAUUCAGGGUGAAGCUGCAGAAAUCUGGGGGCAGGCGUUUGGACUUCCACAGUCUGUGGUGGACUAACAGGGGUCAGUCAGCUAUACCCAGAAAUUUGGGGAAGGAAAACAUCCAGCUGGGUUAUGUCAUGCUAGAAAUUUAUCAUUAGGAUCAAAAUUUAUCAUCGGGAUCGUAUUUGCUUUUUUGAUUGCAAUGUGCCUGACAUUAAACUUUAGAUCGCUAAGGCGUCCACAUCAAAGACAUCCCUCUCCAACAGACACAUUGCCAGCUACACUAGAUAAAAGAGCCAGACGUGGUUCACCCAUGAAGUUCCCUCUUUUUUUUUUUUUUUCCAGAAAACUCUGGUUAUGGUAGAUAAACAGCUGUUCAUUUCACUGACCUCUUGUUUUCCCUUCCUGAGCUUUAAUUCUGGAUUUUAUGAUGUGUUUUUUUGAAGAGGGUACUGAAUUUAUUACUUAUUUUUGUUAACUGCAGGGACAUAGACAGAAAUUCUUAACUUUCCCUGUAUCACUGAUAGAAAUGUGACUGACUCAGGUUCGUGGAGUCCUUAAUCACUAGAAAUUGAUAAGGGGCCAGAGGAGGAAUUCAGGCAAGGGUUUAUUGACAUUCAGGUGCUCCUGUUUAUUCCCAAGGUGGGGAACA